rnacentral:lncRNA from 12 species
CAGGCAGUCGUUUCUCAUACACUGAGAUACAAGCCUCUUUCUCCAAGGACAAGGACAUUCAUCAUGAUUAUUAUUUUUUUUUUUUUAACAUAAGCUUCCAUGAUGCAGUCCCUCUGCUCUGAAUUUCCAUUUACUUGAGUACUGCUGCUUCCUGAAGUGCCUAUAGUGGCUGCUGCUGAGGCCUCUGAUGCCAUGCAUGUGCCAAAAAGCCAAGAAGAGCCCCUGCAAAGUCACCUGGAAAACUACAUCCCAUCACAGCCAAAGCUGCCAAGUCUUGCUCCUGCUGAUGCCCAGUCUGCCAGACCAUCUGGGAUUGGACAACUCUGCUGAUGGGAUCAGCUUCCUCCACCCCAGCUUGGCCUGCAGAAGAACCUUCGACAUGGCUCUCAGGAUGAAGGUGCCAAGUCUGGGUUCCCAGGCAUCUCUGAAGCCUCCAUCCUCCCUGGAAGCACGGCGCAGGGCUCUGCCUCCCCUGGACUGUCUAAACCUGUCUCCUCUUCUAAACACCUUCAUCUUGUUCCCUCGCAGCCCCUAUUCUUCUUGGCUAUGCAAUCCUCAUUCCCCUAGAUGUUGCAAAU